rnacentral:rRNA from 1 species
GAUGAACGCUGGCGGCGUGCCUAAUACAUGCAAGUCGAGCGAACGGACGAGAAGCUUGCUUUUCUGAUGUUAGCGGCGGACGGGUGAGUAACACGUGGAUAACCUACCUAUAAGACUGGGAUAACUUCGGGAAACCGGAGCUAAUACCGGAUAAUAUUUUGAACCGCAUGGUUCAAAAGUGAAAGACGGUCUUGCUGUCACUUAUAGAUGGAUCCGCGCUGCAUUAGCUAGUUGGUAAGGUAAAGGCUUACCAAGGCAACGAUGCAUAGCCGACCUGAGAGGGUGAUCGGCCACACUGGAACUGAGACACGGUCCAGACUCCUACGGGAGGCAGCAGUAGGGAAUCUUCGGCAAUGGGCGAAAGCCUGACGGAGCAACGCCGCGUGAGUGAUGAAGGUCUUCGGAUCGUAAAACUCUGUUAGUAGGGAAGAACAGAUGUGUAAGUAACUGUGCACAUCUUGACGGUACCUAAUCAGAAAGCAACGGCUAACUACGUG